rfam:Danio rerio chromosome 9, GRCz11 reference primary assembly.
UUCUUGCUUCAGCAGCACGAGCAAUAUUGGAGGCAUUGGCCAAGGAGUAACUCCAAUAUUUACAUGCUGCUAAAGCAAGAC